rnacentral:rRNA from 1 species
GACGAACGCUGGCGGCGUGCUUAACACAUGCAAGUCGAACGGAAAGGCCCUGCUUUUGUGGGGUGCUCGAGUGGCGAACGGGUGAGUAACACGUGAGUAACCUGCCCUUGACUUUGGGAUAACUUCAGGAAACUGGGGCUAAUACCGGAUAGGAGCUCCUGCUGCAUGGUGGGGGUUGGAAAGUUUCGGCGGUUGGGGAUGGACUCGCGGCUUAUCAGCUUGUUGGUGGGGUAGUGGCUUACCAAGGCUUUGACGGGUAGCCGGCCUGAGAGGGUGAACGGGCACAUUGGGACUGAGGUACGGCCCAGACUCCUACGGGAGGCAGCAGUGGGGAAUAUUGCACAAUGGGCGGAAGCCUGAUGAAGCAACGCCGCGUGCGGGAUGACGGCCUUCGGGUUGUAAACCGCUUUCGCCUGUGACGAAGCGUGAGUGACGGUAAUGGGUAAAGAAGCACCGGCUAACUACGUG